rnacentral:rRNA from 1 species
GUUCAUUAAAGUCGAGUUGGCUUAGGGAUACGUUCGUUGGGUAGGGGAGCGUUCUGUAAGCCUGUGAAGGUGUGUCGUGAGGCAUGCUGGAGGUAUCAGAAGUGCGAAUGCUGACAUAAGUAACGAUAAAGCGGGUGAAAAGCCCGCUCGCCGGAAGACCAAGGGUUCCUGUCCAACGUUAAUCGGGGCAGGGUGAGUCGACCCCUAAGGCGAGGCCGAAAGGCGUAGUCGAUGGGAAACGGGUUAAUAUUCCCGUACUUGGUGUUACUGCGAAGGGGGGACGGAGAAGGCUAUGUUGGCCGGGCGACGGUUGUCCCGGUUUAAGCGUGUAGGUGUGUGGUCCAGGUAAAUCCGGUUCACUUUAACACUGAGGCGUGACGACGAGGCACUACGGUGCUGAAGCAACAAAUGCCCUGCUUCCAGGAAAAGCCUCUAAGCAUCAGGUAACAUCAAAACGUACCCCAAACGGACACAGGUGGUCAGGUAGAGAAUACCAAGGCGCUUGAGAGAACUCGGGUGAAGGA